GAUGAACGCUGGCGGCGUGCCUAAUACAUGCAAGUCGAGCGAACAGAUGAGGAGCUUGCUCCUCUGACGUUAGCGGCGGACGGGUGAGUAACACGUGGAUAACCUACCUAUAAGACUGGGAUAACUUCGGGAAACCGGAGCUAAUACCGGAUAAUAUAUUGAACCGCAUGGUUCAAUAGUGAAAGGCGGUUUUGCUGUCACUUAUAGAUGGAUCCGCGCCGCAUUAGCUAGUUGGUAAGGUAACGGCUUACCAAGGCAACGAUGCGUAGCCGACCUGAGAGGGUGAUCGGCCACACUGGAACUGAGACACGGUCCAGACUCCUACGGGAGGCAGCAGUAGGGAAUCUUCCGCAAUGGGCGAAAGCCUGACGGAGCAACGCCGCGUGAGUGAAGAAGGUCUUCGGAUCGUAAAACUCUGUUAUUAGGGAAGAACAAAUGUGUAAGUAACUAUGCACGUCUUGACGGUACCUAAUCAGAAAGCCACGGCUAACUACGUG
rnacentral:rRNA from 1 species